CGGGGAGGUAGCAGCAGAGGCGUGGGAGGAAAGUACUCACCGGAAGAAGUCGUUCUUGCAGUACAGUUUGCCUUCCCUGGAGAAGCACUUCUCGGUCAGGUUGCAUUUACAUUCACAGCACUGGACGCACUUGACGUGCCAGGCCCUGUCCAGCACGUUCAAGAGAAAGCGGUCCAGGAUGGGCCUUUUGCAGCCGGCACAGUGAACCAUGGUCUUUGGUUUGGUCUGAUGAGGCCCAGAGAGAGAGAGGGGCAAAGUAGAGCCCAGGGGAUGACUCCUGAAGACAACCGGCACGAGCUCCCCAGUCUCUCCAAAAAGAGGACACACACUCGGCCGUGCAAGCCAAAACUCGCACCAGGAAAUCAAAGUAGGGUGGAGGAAACGAGGCUGAUCGGGGCCUGGGGGGUGUCUCAGUGAAGUGUGCAGCCGGGGAGUCCUGGGGCCCCGGGCUGGAGCGGCGCCGCCUGAGCUCCCGGGGCGAGGAAAAGAAGUCUCAGGCGGGAGAGAAUGCGACCCUUCUGCUCAGAGCCCGCGGAGGAGUGAAGGUCAGCGAGAACGGCGGCGGGAACGGAAAUAAAUAAAUAAAAACGGAGAAGAAGAAGAAGACGACUUGCCGAGCUCGGGUUGCGAGGAAAGCGCCGCUGAGUUCUCCGGCGCUUGAGGUUCCAGAAUGACGCUCGGCCCAUGGACAGAGCCUGCCCAGUCACUCUCGGCUGCUAUUGAUCCCGAGGAUGAUGGCCGCCCCUAGCCAUUUCCCUCCUCUCUCUUCGGUUCCAGAACAGCCCAAGGAGCAGAAAAGAGUGACAAGGCCGUGAAAGGAGGCGCCUGGGGCGUAGCCGGCUCUAGGAGGUUACCCCAUGCGGAGUACACACCCUGCUACACCCAUCCCGGAGGAGGGAGGAAAUAGCCAGCCCGGAGCACCCCUGGACUCUGCCGGUCCCAGAGGCCACGCAAACUCCGCCCAGACUCGGUGAGGCCGCGGUAAUGCCACGCAGGGAACUGCGUGGAUAAGGUCGCUCGGAUCUGAGCGCCAAGGUCUCCCGCCUCUCCUUCCCGUCUAGUUCUCUCCGGACUCAAAUUGCCUUAAUCUCACCCAUCACUCUGUCAUGGAAAUGAUCUACUCGUGUGCAGUACUUUACAGCUUGUAUCACGGUCUCCCCUGAACCGUAUAGCAAGAGGGUGGUGGGGGGUGGAAGAGAAGGGUACCAUCUCCACUUUCCCGGCCAGGAGGCCCAAGUUAGGAGGCUUGUCCGAGAUCCCUAGGUCAGCGCACUAUUUAAGGUGAGAAGUUGGGUGGAGAGCUUGGCACCUUGCUCCAGUGUGCACUUUGCGCCUGGCCAUGUUUUAUAAGCAAGGGGGGCUUGGGCUGUUUAAGGGGGAGCAGGGACCGCAGGGCCAGGAAAGGGCAGCAUCCGGCAGGCCGGGGCGUCACGGUGUGUGCCUGGCCUGGGUAAACAACUCCGGCUUCCCACGAGCGCUGGAGGGACCCUGGGCAUGGGGCAGGGGCGUGGGGGAGGGGGGGCAGGGGCGUGGGGUGGGGCAGGGAGCGGGUGGAACAGCGAGGUCAAGCGUGGAGAUUCCAGUUGCGAGUCAGCUCCGCGCCGCGGAGCAAAGACAGGACGUGGAUAAUCUUGGGAGCGAGACGCUGAGCUGAAGAACAGAAAAGAGAGAUAGAGGCAGAAGUGAGGAGAGAGGGACAGGAAAAGAAAAUAAAGGCAGAAAACCAGAGAAAAGAUGAGACGGAGUGCGGAAAAGCAGGCGGGGAUAAAGAAAGGAAAGAUCUGUCGGGGAAAUGCGGGGAGAAGUGGAGGAAAAGAAACAGAAAAUAGACCCAGAGAGAGACCCUGCCACGAAGAAGGCCGCGGGGACGGGCGCGGAGCCGAGGGCCCUGCAGGCACGGAGGGGGCGUCCCGCGGGUCUGGGGGUGUGCGGCUUUGGGACAGGCGAGUGCGUGCUGAGAGAAGGAGGCAGCGUGUUUUGUGGGAGACUCUGCGCCCGUGGAAAAGCGGCUCUGGGCAGGAAUCCAACAAAUAAAUAAAACGUCUAAGACGGCGUGACAACAAUGUGUAUUUGGGUGCGUGCCCGUGUUCCUCUGUCUGAACACAGUCACACCCAGUAAGGAAGACAAACGGGGCUCGUGCCUCACAGUAAUUAAUCCUCUCACUAAUUGACUCUCUCCCCUUACCUAAUGGCGGUGGUCACUGCCGAUAUCUGGAGAGACAUCAAGUAGGGGGAGACAGAGAGAGAGAACCCCAAAGCUAACGACCUUUGGGACUGAGAUUGAGUUUUUUCUGGACUUGGCAGCUCUAAGCCCCUGCCCCCACCUCCACUUUUGGGCAGAGUUCCAUAGAUAUUGCUGCCUUCCUUCCCCCUCCAGGUUUUGGGCAGCAUUAAUAAAGAUCUCCUCAGAUUAGGGUGAUGUGGUUACACACACUGAAGCCCUUCUACCGCCCUCCACCUUGGGAGAUCAGUUUCAGAGGCUGAAAGCCACCCCUGUCCCUGGGACAUUUCUUACCUCCCUGCAAUACCAGCUCCCCCUCCCAUGUUGUUCCCCCAGGGGCCCAGACCCUGCACCCUCUUCUUUCAGGCAGUACUAACUCUUCCAAGGACCUGGGCGGUGUCCCGCAGUCCCCUAAGGCAGGUGAGGUUUUGAACGGGCUGAGAAGCAGUCUGGGGUUGAUGGAAGGAGAGCGGUGGGAGGUCAGGGCAAGGAUGGGGAGAGGCUUCCAGAGACAACCUUCCUCAGACUUGGGUUGAGAGACACAGAGGCGCAGAGAGGCGCAGUUGCCACCAGGCAAGAGAGAGGCCUCUAGGGACAAAGGAGGGAAAGGUGGGCUCUAUGCACUGUGGGAAGGAGCGCCAAGUGUGUGAGAGGCAGGAAGGUGGUCAUGUCUCUGUGACUGUGAGGGUGACAGUUCUGGUCUGUCUGUGUGAGCAUGGGGAAGCCCCCUAUGUUCCCUCACAGCACCCUCAGUUCUCAGACUGGGGAGAAGAGGCAGGGGACUGGUCUGGGACUUGAUGGUCCCCUUGGUAGCUGAGUUGGCUGGAAGGGGUCCAACACCCACAGUCUGUCUGGUAAUGCAGCUUUGAGGCUUAGGUUUGGGAGGUGAAUGUCAACUCUCACCCCUGUGAGGUGGCAGCUUUGCUCUGUUGGCCUCCUCAGAGGCUAAAUAAAGAAAUGCUGAGAUCUAUAAACCACCCAGCCCAGAGAGAAAAAGGAGGGAGGAAGGGCAGCUCCCUAGAAAAAAAUCCACCCCCUCCCCACCACUAAACACAUUUUUAAUUGUCCCUUGGGAACAUUUGUACAUUUGACCAAAGCAAAUCUCAAAGCAGCAGCAGCAAAAUGAGUCAGAGGGGCUGGUGGUCCAGAGAGAGCUGGGGAUUGGAGAUGGGGAGGUGAGGAGAGGUGGCAGGCAUGUUUGGGAAGGUGAGAAACUUGGCUCCUUUCCCACCAUCUCUGUCAAGCUUUAGAAAGAAAGUGAGCAGGAGAAAUAAAGUUCCAGGGGAAAGAAAGAGAAGGGCAUAUAAAAGGCAAAUCCAACCCAGAAAGGAAAGAAAGUGAAGAAGAAAGAAAAAGGCAGGGAGUGGGGAGAGACUAUAAUAAAAGAGGGUGAAGGCGGCCCCAGGAGGCUGGGCCUCGUCCCAAACCAUCCGUCUUCAUUGUCUCCGUGUGUGCAAAGGCAACUCUGGCAUAAGGAAAACCCACUAUUGGAGCCGAGGCUUUAUUUUAUAUCCUAUACAUCAGGAGGGAGGCAAAGCUUUAUUUUCGCCAAGAGACAGAUAUUUUAUUUCUCUCUUACGGUUUUAUGUGUGAGAGAUGUCAGGUUGCCACAAUGGAUGGCUAAUGCAUAGGCAAGAGGAAGCCGUGUUGGCAUGCUGUGUGUCAUGGGGUCUUGGGGGGGUGAGCGGGCCUGGGAUUUAGGGCUGAUGAGACACUCUGGGGGAUUUGUGCUAAAACAUCUCUCUUCAUAAAUCCAGAAGCAUGGUCAGCUCAACAGGGAGAAGAAGGAGUUUUAGAGGGAAAAGAGUUGGGCUUAGUAAUAAAUGAAUACACAAAGGAACCGCUUACCUUCCAACAGGCUCGGGCAACAGGGGCACGACAGCCCCAUGGAAAUGCAGACACCCAUGUCCACGCACACAAGCGCCAUUCACAGGGAAGUAUUUUCCUGACACGAAAUCCAAUGUCAGUUUCCUUUCCUUUCCCCGUUUUAUAUUUUUCCACCCCCCUUCACCAGAAAUCUUUUUUAACCUCCUCAGAGCCUUGGGGGAAAAGAGCCAUUAAUUUGCAAAUCAUCUGAUCUGUGAAAGGAUCAAGAUGCCUGGUUUUCACUGCUAAAUCCAACGUCUUGAGUGGACACAGAGGCACACACAAGCCCGUCAUGCUGCCAACCCUUGGGAGCAUAGGUGCCAGAUCUGAAGCCAAGAAAAGACUCCCUCUCCUCCCGGGACCUGCAGCUGAAUUAAGCCUUAGAUUCCAAACUGCAUAAUGUUCAUAUUUUUAAACCUGGAGAGAAGUGGAGAGAUGAAGGGGGACAAAAAGAGGGGGAACUUUGUUAAUUAACGUGUUCCAUUCAGGACUUAGACUAAUUGUCUUCCCCACUUCCAGCCGCCCCCCAACCCAAGCCAUUUCUUACAGGAGUUGCUUUUAUUCAUUCUCAUGUUCUACUUUUCUCAUUUUUGGAUUAAUAUCUACUUGUUUAAUAUCUACUGUGGCGCAAAAACGUGACCACGCUCUUUCUUUUCAGAGGGUUGGAAGCAGCACAGGAUUCCUAGACAAGGAGCUUGGAGACUUGGCUACACUGUCCCUGGCCAUUGGGGAAGACGUUUACCCUUUCCGGGCCUCAGUUUUCUCAUCUGUAACAUGAGGUGAUUCGGCUAAAUGAUUACUGAGGUCCCUUCCAGCUCCGACCUCCUCUGGCCGAAUGAGAUAAUGUGUGAAAACACUUUGUGAACACUAACACCAGACAGAUGCCAGGGAUCAUUAUUGCAAUUCUAAUCAAUCCUCUUUUCUCCACAUGGAUCUUGGCUGUUUAGUGCCAGCAAGCAGGCUAAAGGGGGCUGAAAGCAAGAAAGCUUAGCGGACAUGGAAAAGCUCUGUGCAGUGGGAGGAAAAAAAAAAAAAACCCUGCAUCUCCAGAAACAUUGUGUCUCUGUGUGCCCCCUGAGGCCUAGUGGGAAGGGUUGGGGAAGAGGAGGCCUGACUUGGUAUGACCCAUUUUGGUCUACAUGGCGGCAGAGAGUGUAUUUCUUCAAAAGCAUUGUUGGUCUCCAAGUGACUGACAUGGGAACCUGAUGGGAAGGCGAUUUGCAAUUGUUUUUUUCCAGGAAGAAAGAAAGAGCAAGGUGUAGCUGAUUAGCAAGUUAAUUAUUUCAGUACCCCAAGGGUUCCAGUGUGGUGGUAAGUUGUCCAGCCCUGGUGUAAUUUCACAGUCUGUGCAUUUCCUGGCGAGCACCUGGGGUGCCCGAGUCUGUCUCUUUCUCCUUCCACCUGCCUUGUGUCUUCCUGACACACCUGGGGAGAUGAGCAGGGGCUGGGGAGGUUGAUGGUACAAGGUACACAUUCGGCUUAGGCUGCGGGUGGGGGCCACGCCAAGAACAGGGUGGAGGAAGCCCAACUGAUGCCAUCUACCUCCGCUGAGUGUUUAAUUAUCUGGCCCUUUCUUCUUUAAAAAAAAAUCUUUUGUUUAAUAAAUAUUAAUGAGGCGGGUUAUCGGAAAGUGUAGUUGCCAUGAGGUUAUUUCCCCAGCCUUAGCAUGGAAAGAAACUGGGUUUGAGGAGCCUUUCGGCCCCUCACCGCCUUCUACCCCCACCAGCUCUCCCGUGCUCACGUUCCGCAGCAGCUCUUCCGGUCUCACUUCAAGAUUUGAUUUCCCCUUGGGGGAGGGUAGGGGAGGGAAGAUCAUGUGGUCAAAUGGACACUUCCCCUCGGAGAGAUAAGUUGGAGAUGUGAACAUUAGCCUCAAGAAUUAACAGCUUCUGCCGCUCUCUGCUCUCGGGGCUGAGAGGGCCAGCCCCCCGCUGCUCCUUCCGCGAUGGAUGAAGGGAGGGCUCUACAGUUUACUUAAGAGUGGUCCCAUCUGCUCAGACUGGCCUUUCAUAAGGGGAGGGAUUUAUGCAGUGUCCUUGUGCACAGACCUGGGAUUUGGCUGAAAACCUUGGGCCUCUGAGAAUAUUACUGAACGCUAAAACGUUCAGCCAUGGAGAUGAUUCAUGAUUUUGUCUGCAUGGACAGUGUGUGUGUGUGUGUGUGUGUGUGUGUGUGUGUGUGUGUUUGUUUGGGGUUGCACGCACAGUGAUGAUGGGUGCUAUUCACCGUUCUCACUUUGAAUCCAAAUGUUAGGAAACUUUUUUUCCUUCUGUAUUCACUCAGGAGACAGGCCCUGGCACCAGGCUCUGGAGACCCCACUUCCUGACUCCAGCGGUGCGAAGAUGAUACAAUACUUUCUGGUGCUGACAUUCAGCUGUCCCCCAAACAGGUUGGCUGAUAGCCCUGCCCGUCCUUGAAGAGGGGCCGAGGGCUGUCUAAAAAGACAGUUCUGAUGACUGCUUCGUUGCUAGUGGCAGAGGAUUUGGGGCACAGGGGUGGAGUUAAGUCCAAUUGCUGUUUAAAUUGGACUUGGCCUCCUUUAUUUUACAGUCCUAAGGGGUCUCCAUAGGAGAAAAAGUAGCGAGAGCAACUUAGAACACAGGAAAGCAAGCAUAGGGAAGAGUUUCUUGUCUCAAUCUUGGUACUGCCGUGCCAAAAUGAAGCCCAGGGAUGGUUAAAAACGGAUCCUAGGGACCGGGCACCUUGGCUCAGGCCUGUAAUCCCAGCACUUUGGGAGAUCAAGAUGGGAGGAUUGCUUGAGGCUAGGAGUUCGAGACCAGCCUGGCCAACAUAGUGAGACCUCAUCUCCAAAAAUAAAAACUUAAAAAAAAAUUUAAAAAACAAAAACAAAAAUACAGAUCCUAGGGAACAGAGCUUUGAGGUUCCCUGUGGGAUCUUGGCCUGACUCUUGGGAGAUGAAGAAGUCCUUGGCAAGUUUGAAAAGAUCUACAAGUGCCAUCUAUUCAGGGGACUAAAUGUGAUUUCUUUUCACCGCCCAGUGGCUGGUAAGGAAGGAAGCAUUUUGCAUUUUCAGCUUGUAGGAUGGUUAUUGGUGGUCCUACCAUCUUGCUCAUGUUCAAGUUUGGUCGUGUAGAUGAAGACCCCAGCUUCCCAGCUCUUAGUUUUUCUUUUCCCUCAGGCCAUUCAUAAUUUAGCUAACAUUCUAGUCCAUUGACCAGCAUGCAUUUUGAAAGGUGAGCUGGCAAGCCUGUAACUGUGUGCAAGGUUGUUCUCAUUUAGGCUCCAGGAAGGAUAUAGUUUCCCCAUAAGAAAGAAAAGUGGGCGAGAGGCUGAGGUGGGAGGUCGCUUGAGUCCGGGAGGCAAAGAUUGCAGUGAGCUGAGAACCAUGCCACUCACUGCCUUCCAGCUUGGGUGACAGAGUGAGACCCCAUCUCGAAAAAAAAGAAAAAAAAGAAAAAGAAAGAAAGAAAAAAAUAAAUAAAACAAGGAACUAUUUAUAUUAAUCUUUUAAUGAAGGAUUUACCAAUCUGAUAAGUACAAAGCUCCUUUUCCUCCUUCUGAAUGAGUAACUAUGUCAGUCAAUGUUGAGGGUCUGCAGAACCUAUACAAAAAUGCUUUCUUUGGUCUCUCAGUUUUAACACAUGCUGGGGCUUGGGCCUGCCUCUGACAGACUGGGGAGGAGUAGACACAUUCCAGAGACCAGGUCUUGGAGUGUUAUCUCUUCCCCCACCUCAAAUCCUCACCCUCCACUUUAUCUGUCUUUAGCACGAAUGCAGAGACCUCCUAGGGAAGUGUGAAGGGAUGGGUUUUCGUCAGGUUUGGGGAAGGAAGGGGAAUAAGAUGAGCCCCAAAGAAAGAUGGGGGUCAUUUGGAAUUUUUAGAUGACACUCUUUUGUUAUACUUUUCUUGUGUUGUGUAUUAUGUCCUACAAAUCGUGCAUUUGUUACAGUAAGCCACAGUGUGUAUGUGUGUUUGCCAAGUGCUACUUGGCCAAAACAGUGUUAAAUAAAAUUGUAAGAAAUGCUACCAGGGCCUUGCAUGGGU
rnacentral:lncRNA from 1 species